AGCCACCGCCAUGAUGAAGGGAGCACUGCUUGUGCUGGCCUUGAUGGUGACCAGAGAGCUAAUGUUCCAGACGAGUGAGGCGGAAGCCCGCCUAUUUUUUAUGGAGUGUUUGGCACAGUGAGCCUUGGAAGCAAAACGUUGUUGAAUGCAACACUUGAUUUGGUUGCUGCUACUGAUGAGGAAAAAGCAGCUCUAGGAAAAAUCCAGGAUUGCUACAAUGAGGCGGGACUUGAUGGCAAGUUUUUGGAUCUGCUCCUCAUGGUUUCCAUCAACCUGAGUACGGAUUGCAUCAAACAUUCAGUCUCCUCGGUGGUGAAUUCCAUUUUAUGAGCCAUACUCAGUGUGCUCUCUUUGUUGACAUAGUCUUUGCCAGGGAUGCCUCAUCUGCACUUGAUCUUCCUGCCCUUUUUCCUUCUCAACUGAAUCUAGACACCUGUCCCCCCUGAUGUGCUCUUUAUCAGGUUGACUCUAAUAAAAUAACUGC